UACGUAGGCAGCGAGCGUUGUUCGGAGUUACUGGGCGUAAAGCGUGCGUAGGCGGUGUCUUAAGUUUGUUGUGAAAUCUCCCGGCUCAACCGGGAGGGUGCGGCGAAUACUGAGAUGCUGGAGUGCCGGAGAGGUAAGCGGAAUUCCUGGUGUAGCGGUGAAAUGCGUAGAUAUCAGGAGGAACACCUGCGGUGUAGACGGCUUACUGGACGGGUAACUGACGCUGAGGCGCGAAAGCUAGGGGAGCAAACGGG
rnacentral:rRNA from 1 species